AGUGUAUCUAUGGAUGUAAAUAUGGCUUGGUCGGUUUACAAUGCUCCAAUCAGUAUGGGGCUACACAUGCUGUUACUAUAGGACUUUCAACAGGAUCAGCACUUCUAUUUCUGAUGUUGAUGGCAGUGUGCUACCGGUGUCGAAAUGUCGUGAGAUGUGACAGAGGCACCCAAGCGGCCUUCCCUCUACCUGACAGUGUGGAGGAACACAAAGAUACCCCCGCUGUUUAGUACCAUGGGUAUUGUGAAAUACUGGAGGACGACGACAACAGGAGUCACCAGCCUAUCAUGAACCCAGAAGAAGGAAGUGAUUCUCCAAUGCCUGUUUUGGCAGACUGUUUCCCUGCAGCAGGAUACGGAGGUGGAGGAGGAGGGCCAUCAAACAG